rnacentral:SRP_RNA from 1 species
GCCAGGCGUGGUGGCUCACGCCUGUAAUCCGAGCACCUUGGGAGGUUGAGGUGGGCGGAUCACCUGAGGUCAGGAGUUUGAGACCAGCCUGACCAACAUGGAGAAACCCCAUCUCUA